rnacentral:misc_RNA from 1 species
CCUUUCAAUGCAGAAGAGUUGAGGUGGUUGAGUAUUCUCGGCCCCUCAAAGUUCCUCGCUGUAUUUUACCCUUGUUUUUCUCAUACUAUUAUUUCCUCGGACAGGGCCAGCCUGCCGGUGAACUGAAACAACUCUACAAACCUGCUGUUAAUUUUCAAUACAGCGUCUGAACAAAUUAAUAAUUA